AUUGAACGCUGGCGGCAUGCCUUACACAUGCAAGUCGAACGGUAACGGGCCUUCGGGUGCCGACGAGUGGCGAACGGGUGAGUAAUACAUUGGAACGUGCCCGAUCGUGGGGGAUAACGAGGCGAAAGCUUUGCUAAUACCGCAUACGAUCUACGGAUGAAAGCAGGGGACCGCAAGGCCUUGCGCGGACGGAGCGGCCGAUGGCAGAUUAGGUAGUUGGUGGGAUAAAAGCUUACCAAGCCGACGAUCUGUAGCUGGUCUGAGAGGAUGAUCAGCCACACUGGGACUGAGACACGGCCCAGACUCCUACGGGAGGCAGCGGUGGGGAAUUUUGGACAAUGGGCGCAAGCCUGAUCCAGCCAUGCCGCGUGCAGGAUGAAGGCCUUCGGGUUGUAAACUGCUUUUGUACGGAACGAAAAGCCUUCUUUUAAUACAGGAGGGUCAUGACGGUACCGUAAGAAUAAGCACCGGCUAACUACGU
rnacentral:rRNA from 1 species